rnacentral:misc_RNA from 1 species
GAUGAAGAACGCAGCGAAAGUGCGAAACGUAAUGUGAAUUGCAGAAUUCAGUGAAUCAUCGAAUCUUUGAACGCACAUUGCGCCCGCCAGCACUCUGGCGGGCAUGCCUGUUCGAGCGUCAUUUCAACCAUCAAGCCCCCAGGGGCUUGUGCUGGGGCCCUGCGGCUGCCCGCAGGCCCUGAAAACCAGUGGCGGGCUCGCUAGUCACACCGAGCGCAGUAGCACAUCUCGCUCAGGGCGUGCGGCGGGCUCCUGCCGUGAAACCCCCCACUGUAACCCCAAAGGUUGACCUCGGAUCAGGUAGGAAUACCCGCUGAACUUAAGCAUAUCAAUAAGCGGAGGA